rnacentral:rRNA from 1 species
CCUACGGGUGGCAGCAGUGGGGGAUAUUGCACAAUGGGGGAAACCCUGAUGCAGCGACGCCGCGUGUGGGAAGACGGUCUUCUGGAUUGUAAACCACUGUCCCCAGGGACGAAAAUGACGGUACCUGGGGAGGAAGCUCCGGCUAACUACGUGCCAGCAGCCGCGGUACUACGUAGGGAGCAAGCGUUGUCCGGAAUUACUGGGUGUAAGGGGAGCGUAGGCGGGGAUGCAAGUUGGGUGUCAAAACUACCGGCUCAACCGAUAGUCGCACUCAAAACUGGAACUCUUGAGUGAAGUAGAGGCAGGCGGAAUGCCUGGUGUAGCGGUGAAAUGCGUAGAUAUCAGGAGGAACACCAGUGGCGAAGGCGGCCUGCUGGGCUUUUACUGACGCUGAGGCUCGAAAGUGUGGGGAGCAAACAGGAUUAGAUACCCUAGUAGUC